AUAGCUGAAGAGUGGCGCAUAACCUCAAAAAAGUGUUGUGUUUUGGUUUGUUUUCCUCAUUUUUGAGAAUUAUUGGCCAAAAAGGAGUGAUUUAAUUAUCUGUGGCAUUUAAUUUGCAGGAUCCUUUAAAGAUCAGCGUUGGAGGACAUUGAAGAGCAGCUCCUGGAGGCGCGCGGGAAGGACUGGACUCCCGGAAAGGCCAUCCAGAGGGAAAAAGCACAGGUGGAGAAUCAUUUAAAUGCAUCGCGUGAGGAUAAAUUCUACAGGAAACUCGUGAAUUUCCUUCAAUUCCGGCUUCUGUGUUGCUGGAAUCCGAGUUCUUCGUGGCUUCAAAUCCGCCUCCAGAGGCCGGAGAGUCAUCCAGUCAACACCAGAAUGAGGAACACAGGAAGAGUGGACCCAAGAACAAGUCAGGAAAAGCAGCAAAAGGCGCAGAAAGAAGUGAGAAUCGUCAGGGAAGAAGGCGCAAGAGUGAAUUGCAGGAAAAUGCGGAUGUCGAGGAGGACAAUUUGCUGUUAGAAGAAUCUGCAGUGCGAUGAGAAAACGCCAAUGUGACGAAAACUCCGCAGAAUCGACAGAGAAAGUCACAGAAAUGCCGUGUUUCGGCGUCUCCACUUGCCGUGUGUCUCCGCUGAGCUUUGAUAAGAGAAAAGAGAGCAGAGAGAGAGAGAGAGAGAGAGAGAGAGCGA